rnacentral:rRNA from 1 species
UAGGGAAUCUUCGGCAAUGGACGGAAGUCUGACCGAGCAACGCCGCGUGAGUGAAGAAGGUUUUCGGAUCGUAAAGCUCUGUUGUUAGAGAAGAACGUUGGUAGGAGUGGAAAAUCUACCAAGUGACGGUAACUAACCAGAAAGGGACGGCUAACUACGUGCCAGCAGCCGCGGUAAUACGUAGGUCCCGAGCGUUGUCCGGAUUUAUUGGGCGUAAAGCGAGCGCAGGCGGUUCUUUAAGUCUGAAGUUAAAGGCAGUGGCUUAACCAUUGUACGCUUUGGAAACUGGAGGACUUGAGUGCAGAAGGGGAGAGUGGAAUUCCAUGUGUAGCGGUGAAAUGCGUAGAUAUAUGGAGGAACACCGGUGGCGAAAGCGGCUCUCUGGUCGGUAACUGACGAUGAGGCUCGAAAGCGUGGGGAGCGAACAGG